rnacentral:rRNA from 1 species
GCAAGUCGAACGGUGAAGCGGGUGCUUGCACUCGUGGAUCAGUGGCGAACGGGUGAGUAACACGUGAGUAACCUGCCCUCCACUCUGGGAUAAGCGCUGGAAACGGCGUCUAAUACUGGAUACGACCGACCCUCGCAUGGGGUGUUGGUGGAAAGAUUUAUCGGUGGUGGAUGGACUCGCGGCCUAUCAGCUUGUUGGUGGGGUAAUGGCCUACCAAGGCGACGACGGGUAGCCGGCCUGAGAGGGCGACCGGCCACACUGGGACUGAGACACGGCCCAGACUCCUACGGGAGGCAGCAGUGGGGAAUAUUGCACAAUGGGCGAAAGCCUGAUGCAGCGACGCCGCGUGAGGGAUGACGGCCUUCGGGUUGUAAACCUCUUUCAGCAGGGAAGAAGCUUUUGUGACGGUACCUGCAGAAGAAGCACCGGCUAACUACGUGCCAGCAGCCGCGGUAAUACGUAGGGUGCGAGCGUUGUCCGGAAUUAUUGGGCGUAAAGAGCUUGUAGGCGGUUUGUCGCGUCUGCUGUGAAAAUUCAGGGCUUAACCCUGGACGUGCAGUGGGUACGGGCAGACUAGAGUGUGGUAGGGGAGACUGGAAUUCCUGGUGUAGCGGUGGAAUGCGCAGAUAUCAGGAGGAACACCGAUGGCGAAGGCAGGUCUCUGGGCCAUUACUGACGCUGAGAAGCGAAAGCAUGGGGAGCGAACAGGAUUAGAUACCCUGGUAGUCCAUGCCGUAAACGUUGGGCGCUAGGCGUGGGUCUCAUUCCACGAGAUCCGUGUCGCAGCUAACGCAUUAAGC